rnacentral:rRNA from 1 species
GACGAACGCUGGCGGCGUGCCUAAUACAUGCAAGUCGAGCGCAGGAAAUCGACGGAACCCUUCGGGGGGAAGUCGACGGAAUGAGCGGCGGACGGGUGAGUAACACGUAAAGAACCUGCCCUCAGGUCUGGGAUAACCACGAGAAAUCGGGGCUAAUACCGGAUGGGUCAUCGGACCGCAUGGUCCGAGGAUGAAAGGCGCUCCGGCGCCGCCUGGGGAUGGCUUUGCGGUGCAUUAGCUAGUUGGUGGGGUAAUGGCCCACCAAGGCGACGAUGCAUAGCCGACCUGGGAGGGUGAUCGGCCACACUGGGACUGAGACACGGCCCAGACUCCUACGGGAGGCAGCAGUAGGGAAUCUUCCACAAUGGACGAAAGUCUGAUGGAGCAACGCCGCGUGAACGAUGAAGGCCUUCGGGUCGUAAAGUUCUGUUGUAAGGGAAGAACAAGUGCCGCAGGCAAUGGCGGCACCUUGACGGUACCUUGCGAGAAAGCCACGGCUAACUACGUGCCAGCCGCCGCGGUAACAC